rnacentral:rRNA from 1 species
AGAAUCAACGCUGGCGGCGUGCCUAACACAUGCAAGUCGAACGAGAAAGUGGAGCAAUCCAUGAGUAAAGUGGCGCACGGGUGAGUAACACGUGACUAACCUACCCUUGAGUGGGGGAGUAACCUAAGGGAACCUAGGGCUAAUACCGCAUAAUACCUUCGGGUCAAAGGAGCAAUUCGCUUAAGGAGGGGGUCGCGGCCGAUUAGUUAGUUGGCGGGGUAAUGGCCCACCAAGACUGUGAUCGGUAU